UGUCAAGUGUCACACUGCAUCCCAAUUCACAAGUAAGUGUAGCAUUUCUCAGUUAUUUUCCUGGAAUGUUUAGUUUAUUCAAUUCACCCAAUGUAGGUUAAUUAAUCUUAGAUGAGGAAAUAUAUUCACUACUAACUAGUUGCUUAAUAACAUGCAUGCUACUGUAAUGUCUGUUUUGGGUUUUGUUUCAUGUUCAUGUUUUCAUGUCACGUUUAUUUUGUUAUUGUUUGAUUUUGCUGUUUGUGUCAUGCUCCCCUUGCCAUCAUGUAUCUCUGCUUUGUGUAUGUGUCAUGUUCUCAUUGGUUAUUGUCUGGUCAUGUGAUUAUCAGUUCUGUUAGUUCUCAUUGGUUGCUUUAGUCAUGUGUCUUGUUCCCAUUUUGUUCUUGUCAUGUGGCCCUCAUUGUUUGUAUAAGUAGUCAUGUUUUUGCCAUUGUGUUUUGUCGUGUAUUAAUGUAACGUAAUGUUAAUGGAUUUUGGAUUACACCUUUGUAAAUAAACUGCACUUGGGUUCAUCUACACUCGCCUUCAGUGGACCGUUCGUUACAGAAUACACGACCACCAAUCAUGAACCCAGCAGUAUCACAGCUCCUCUGCCUUCGUCAGGGUAACCGAUCCAUUGAGGAUUAUGUCCAGGAUUUUUGUGGACUUUAUAACUGGGUGGACUAAUGAUGUGGCCCUGAAGGACAUCUUUCAGGUUGGUCUUAAUGAGCCCAUUUGCUCUCAGCUUCCUGGGGGGAAAGUUCACUGGUCCCUGGAGGAAUAUAUUGACCAUGCCCUUUUUCUGGUUGGUUCAUCAUUUACUGUGGGGAUUGCUGAUGAGGAACACUGCAAUCCUGCAGUAGCCACCAUGCCUGCCAAGCCAGCACCUGUUCACGUCAUGCCUGCUACGCCAGAGCCUACUCACAUCAUGCCAGUGUCUCAAGAGGUUCUCCACAACAUGGCCGCUAUUCAAGAGCUCCGUAGCAAAAUGACUGCCACUCAAGAGUCUCUUCAGAAAAUGGCCGCACUUCCAGAGCCUUGUCACACCUCAGCUGAACUUCCAGAGCCUCAUCACGCCUCAGCUGAACUUUCAGAGUCUCGUCACGUCUCAGCUGAUCAUCCAGGGUCUUGUCUCAACAUGGCCGCCAUUCCAGAGUCCCAUCACGUCAUGGCCGCCGUUCCAGAGUCCCCGGCCAAGAUGUCUCGUCAAGUCUUGGCAGUCACGGAGACUGUUCCUUUGGCCUCAGUACUUCUAGUAAUGGCAGUCGCCAUUUUGAGCGUGUGGGCUGCACACUGUGCUCCAGAGACUUUUCCUGUCCACGAGUCUGCUCCUGAGGCUUCUCCUGGCCCUGAAUUCACUCCAGUGCCCCCAGAGGCAGCAGCUUCCGCUGCAGAACCUCCAGAGGAGGCGGGGUCCACUACAGAACCUCCCAAAGUGGUGGCUCCAGGAGGCUGUCCACGAACUCUCUGCCUGUCCUGUAACGGUCCAUGUCCCUGCUCCACCAUGGCUUCCAGCUCUGCCUGCACCGCCUGGCCACCCCGCUGGGCCUGCACCGCCAUGGCUCCAUAUUGCUCUGGAUCUGCUCCACAGCCCAGGCCCCCCUCUGUUUCAUGGUCUGUCACUGCUCCACGGCCCAGUUCCCCCUCUGCUCCAUGGUCUGUCAUUGCCUCAUGA
ensembl:lncRNA